rnacentral:rRNA from 1 species
UACGUAGGGGGCAAGCGUUGUCCGGAAUCAUUGGGCGUAAAGCGCGCGUAGGCGGCCCGGUAAGUCCGCUGUAAAAGUCCAGGGCUCAACCCUGGAAAGCCGGUGGAUACUGUCGGGCUAGAGUCCGGAAGAGGCGAGUGGAAUUCCUGGUGUAGCGGUGGAAUGCGCAGAUAUCAGGAAGAACACCCGUGGCGAAAGCGGCUCUCUGGGACGGUACUGACGCUGAGACGCGAAAGCGUGGGGAGC